rnacentral:pre_miRNA from 7 species
GACCGCCAGUGAAAAUCGAUUUUCACUGGCGGUUUUAUUACGUCGACCGCCAGUGAAAAUCGAUUUUCACUGGCGGUC